UGUGGUUAAGGAGGAACCAAGUGGUAGAGGUAAAUGCUCUGCCCAAACCGGUACUAAACCCGCAAAGCCAGGCAAGACUCCGCUGCCACCAUCCCCGCGUAAAGCGUAGAGUGGCAAGCACUGGUCCAGAAAUUAUUGAGAGUAAAGGGGUCGAAGCCGGAUUUCCUUAAGUGUAGAUGUGAAAGCCCCCCGGCUCAACCGGGGAGGGUCAUUGGAAAACUGGGAAACUUGAGGGCAGAAGAGGAGAGUGGGAAUUCCACGUGUAGCGGUGAAAUGCGUAGAGAUGUGGAGGAACACCAGUGGCGAAGGCGACUCUCUGGUCUGUAACUGACGCUGAGGAGCGAAAGCGUGGGGAGCGAACAGGAUUAGAUACCCUGGUAGUCCACGCCGUAAACGAUGAGUGCUAAGUGUUAGGGGGUUUCCGCCCCUUAGUGCUGCAGCUAACGCAUUAAGCACUCCGCCUGGGGAGUACGGUCGCAAGACUGAAACUCAAAGGAAUUGACGGGGGCCCGCACAAGCGGUGGAGCAUGUGGUUUAAUUAGAAGCAACGCGAAGAACCUUACCAGGUCUUGACAUCCUCUGACAACCCUAGAGAUAGGGCUUUCCCUUCGGGGACAGAGUGACAGGUGGUGCAUGGUUGUCGUCAGCUCGUGUCGUGAGAUGUUGGGUUAAGUCCCGCAACGAGCGCAACCCUUGAUCUUAGUUGCCAGCAUUUAGUUGGGCACUCUAAGGUGACUGCCGGUGACAAACCGGAGGAAGGUGGGGAUGACGUCAAAUCAUCAUGCCCCUUAUGACCUGGGCUACACACGUGCUACAAUGGACAGAACAAAGGGCUGCAAGACCGCAAGGUUUAGCCAAUCCCAUAAAUCUGUUCUCAGUUCGGAUCGCAGUCUGCAACUCGACUGCGUGAAGCUGGAAUCGCUAGUAAUCGCGGAUCAGCAUGCCGCGGUGAAUACGUUCCCGGGCCUUGUACACACCGCCCGUCACACCACGAGAGUUUGCAACACCCGAAGUCGGUGAGGUAACCUUUAUGGAGCCAGCCGCCGAAGGUGGGGCAGAUGAUUGGGGUGAAGUCGUAAGCAAG
rnacentral:rRNA from 1 species